rnacentral:misc_RNA from 1 species
AACGACAGUACAAGACAAUGGAAUCAGAAAUGAGUGUGAAGGUACACCUUCUGGAAACCAAACUGGCUUGUUGUAAGCAAAAGUUAUGUGAAACAGAAGCAAAACUGUUGAAUUCACAAGAAGAAACAAUGCACCAUCUUAAAGAAAAACAGAAAGAAAUUGAUCUUCUUCACCAGCAGCAAAAUUCAAUACAGAAUUUCUAUGAAAAAAUAAUUCAUGAAGUUUUUGAUGACCUUGUGUUGAAAGUCAAUAGAACAAGAGAUCAUUUGGAAGAACAUGGUGUAAUGAUUCAGGCCAAAAAUAAGAAAAUACUUCUUGAAUUUGGCUUAAAUCCACUUGAUUUGUAAUAUUUUUGCCUCAAGAUUUUCUGCUCCACAAGGUAUGGCUUCAUCUUUGUCUUGAGACAAUUAUAUUCUCUUCGACAGAAAAUGUUUAAAAAGAGAAUGGAAGAGUAGAGUUGGCCUCACCAUCAUGAGAUAACAAGCAACUAUGAUGGCACUUCUUGUCCGUCCAGCUUUACAAUGAACAUAAA